AAAUGAAUUGACGGGGGCCCGCACAAGCAGUGGAGUAUGUGGUUUAAUUCGAAGCAACGCGAAGAACCUUACCAGGUCUUGACAUCCCUUGAAUAGCAUAGAAAUAUGUUAGUCCUUCGGGACAAGGAGACAGGUGGUGCAUGGUUGUCGUCAGCUCGUGUCGUGAGAUGUUGGGUUAAGUCCCGCAACGAGCGCAACCCUUGCUGCCAGUUGCCAGCAUGUAAUGAUGGGCACUCUGGCAGGACUGCCGGUGAUAAAUCGGAGGAAGGUGGGGAUGACGUCAAAUCAUCAUGCCCUUUAUGAUCUGGGCUACACACGUACUACAAUGGCCGUUACAAAGGGAAGCAAAAUGGUAACAUGGAGCAAAUCCCCAAAAACGGUCCCAGUUCGGAUUGUGGGCUGAAACCCGCCCACAUGAAGUCGGAAUUGCUAGUAAUUGCAGGUCAGCAUACUGCAGUGAAUACGUUCCCGGGCCUUGUACACACCGCCCGU
rnacentral:rRNA from 1 species